rfam:Schistosoma margrebowiei strain Zambia genome assembly, scaffold: SMRZ_scaffold0000837
GCACUCCUGAGGAGUCCCAUACCAGGACGAAACGGCCGUCCAGUGC